AUUGAACGCUGGCGGCAUGCUUUACACAUGCAAGUCGAACGGUAACAGGUUAAGCUGACGAGUGGCGAACGGGUGAGUAAUGCAUCGGAACGUGCCCGGUCGUGGGGGAUAACGCAGCGAAAGCUGCGCUAAUACCGCAUACGAUCUGAGGAUGAAAGCGGGGGACCGUAAGGCCUCGCGCGAUCGGAGCGGCCGAUGUCAGAUUAGGUAGUUGGUGGGGUAAAGGCUCACCAAGCCGACGAUCUGUAGCUGGUCUGAGAGGACGACCAGCCACACUGGGACUGAGACACGGCCCAGACUCCUACGGGAGGCAGCAGUGGGGAAUUUUGGACAAUGGGCGCAAGCCUGAUCCAGCAAUGCCGCGUGCAGGAAGAAGGCCUUCGGGUUGUAAACUGCUUUUGCACGGAGCGAAAAGGCUCUCUCUAAUACGGAGGGCUCAUGACGGUACCGUAAGAAUAAGCACCGGCUAACUACGUGCCAGCCGCCGCGGUAA
rnacentral:rRNA from 1 species